rnacentral:rRNA from 1 species
UGGAGAGUUUGAUCCUGGCUCAGAUUGAACGCUGGCGGCAGGCCUAACACAUGCAAGUCGAGCGGUAACAUAACUAGCUUGCUAGAAGAUGACGGAGAGGCGGACGGGUGAGUAGUGCUUUGGAAUAUGCCUUUUGGUGGGGGACAACAGUUGGAAACGACUGCUAAUACCGCAUGAUGUCUACGGACCAAAGUGGGGGACCUUCGGGCCUCACGCCAAAAGAUUAGCCCAAGUGGGAUUAGCUAGUUGGUAAGGUAAUGGCUUACCAAGGCAACGAUCCCUAGCUGGUUUGAGAGGAUGAUCAGCCACACUGGGACUGAGACACGGCCCAGACUCCUACGGGAGGCAGCAGUGGGGAAUAUUGCACAAUGGGCGCAAGCCUGAUGCAGCCAUGCCGCGUGUGUGAAGAAGGCCUUCGGGUUGUAAAGCACUUUCAGUAAGGAGGAAAGGUURAGUGUUAAUAGCACUUAGCUGUGACGUUACUUACAGAAGAAGCACCGGCUAACUCCGUGCCAGCAGCCGCGGUAAUAC